rnacentral:rRNA from 1 species
UACGUAGGGGGCAAGCGUUGUCCGGAAUCAUUGGGCGUAAAGCGCGUGUAGGCGGUUCGGUAAGUCGGCUGUGAAAGUCCAGGGCUCAACCCUGGGAUGCCGGUCGAUACUGCCGGACUAGAGUUCGGAAGAGGCGAGUGGAAUUCCCGGUGUAGCGGUGAAAUGCGCAGAUAUCGAGAGGAACACCUGCGGCGAAGGCGGGUUGCUGGGCUGAUACUGACGCUGAGGCGCGAAAGCCAGGGGAGCAAACGGG